CUCAUAAGCGGUAUUCCUCUGAAGCCGCACCUUGUGCCGCACUCAUGCCAGCUCUGAAAACUAAGCUAAGCAAGGCUAGGCCAGUCAGUACUUGGAUGGGAGACCUUCAAGGAAAUACCAGGCGAUCAGU
rnacentral:rRNA from 1 species